CUCUCUCUCCCUCUCUCCUUUCUCUCUCUCUCUCCCUCCCUCUCUCUCCCUCUCUCGCCUUUCUCUCCCUCCUCCCUCCCUCUCUCCCAUUCUCUGUUCCUAAUUAGCAAGAAACCAAGUAGAAUUUGGCGUUUCCUUCCCAGCCUUGGGUCACUUCUGAUUGGUUCAACCUUGCAACAAGUCCACUGCACCACCCCUGCCAAGGGCUUCAUUUGGGAGAACAUGGCAGUGGUAUAUCUGUGACAUCACUAUGGAGACCAGCCCUGCACUUAAUGACCUGUGGCCAGACUCACAGCCUCCUUAACCCCUUUUCUGAGGACGACUCCCAGUUCUCCCUUCCUCCAGAGCCUUGAAAUAAGAAUAUUGUAUGGAGCCUCCCUUUUCCUCAUCCCGCCCACUCAUACGCUGGGGAGAACUCACCAGAACGUUGUUAAAGGAUAAGGAAUUCCCUCGGGACUCCCAGAGAAACAAGGUUCCUUGUCAGCUGGAGUAGCCGUAUGACCUGUUCUAACGAAUAAGACUUAAACCGAAGACAUUUGUUGAUAGAAAAAUCAAAUUUGGGUGUGUUUGUGUUUCUGGUAAAAGAGAAUAAACGGGACUGAGAGCACCUCUUCCUUUUCCAUCUCACCUCAAAGCUGAAACUUAAUUUUUUUAAAGAUUAAUUUGUUUAUUGGAAAGUCAGAGUUACACAGAGAGAGAAGAAGCAGAGAGAGAGAGAGGUCUUCCAUCCACUGUUUCACUCCCCAGUUGGCCGCAACAGCUGGAGCUGCGCCAAUCGAAGCCAGGAGCCAGGAGCCUCCUUUAAGUUCUCUGUAUAGCAGUCACUACAGGAGAGGUAUUUGUGUUGUGUGUUUGAUAUGUGAUAAUUCUGUCUCACCUCCGGGUAUAUAUGCUCUGAGAGAGCAGGGACUCUGCCUCAACCCGGUGUCUCCGUAGCCAAUGUUGAAUGAGCACUUGCUGAAUGGACAAACGGACCUGAAUGAAUAGCAUCUUUCACUGAAGGGGGGGAGGAACCAUUCUUCUCCAAUGCAGAAAAAUCAGCCAACCAUAUCCACAGUUUCCCCUACCCUAUGUUACACUAAAACAUGUUACAGAAAACCCCUCUCGUGUGCUAUUUGAUUAAGUUAAUAGAAGAUGGAGCAGAGAGUCAGACACUGUCUUCAGCAGAUUGGGGAGGGAAAUUUGACAAGAAUAGUGAGGAGGCCGGCGCCGU